CAUUCAAUUUAUGACACCAUUUAUUCUGUUUCAUUUUUUUGUAGCAUUUCUUAUGUUCUGGAGCAGUGUUCAGCAGGUAAUAGGGGCUCCAGUUCCCAACCAUAGGGUCCUCCUCUUGGCCACAGCAGAUGAAGAUCUGGGUGGAUAUCUGGCCUGGCUUGGCUGAUCAGCUUCCCUCCUCUGGAAAUCUGGUGUUAGGGGUGAGAGAUUCUCAGCCUGUCUUGGCAGUGCCUGCGGGAAAGGGAAAGGCUCAAAGCCUGGGGCUGCCACCUUGCACCGCAUGUGAGAGGAGGCUGGGAAGGGUGGGUGCUUGGGGCAAGAGGGAAGAGGCAUGCAAAGGGAAGCAGGGAGGAGAGACGUGGCGAGAAUCCCACAGGGGUCCCACCUCUGUGGCACCUGAUUCCAGGGCUGCCAACAGCUUCAGUCUGCCUGGGACUGAGGGGCUUCCUAAAAUGCAAGAAUAAAACAGAGAAGGUCCUGGGCAAGCUGGGAUGGUUGGUUACCCUACUGUCAUUCUUAGAUUUCAUGAGACACUCUGAUGUUUAUCCAGUAAACAUCCUUUUCAGCUGGCAUGAGCUACCUUCAGCCAGUUUCUAUGACCUGCAGUGAAAAUCACCCCAAGACCUGCUUGCCUCUGCUUAGCUUUCACCUGAUCUCCAAGAGCUCCUCACUGGCUCUGGAUCUGUGAACCGGGUCAUAGGUGUCACCCUCUCAUCGGCAAUGGGCCUCUUGGCACUGGUCAGGGCAAAGGGCUGAGAUGUCUCUGCAUCAGUUAUUCUUCAUCCAAGAGCUCUCAGCCAGAGCUGGGCAAAGGCCGAUCCUCUGUUCCCCCAUCCUUUGAGCAGGGAACCACUGUGUACUCAUAGGAGUGCCUGACAUUUCAGAGGAACUCAAUGCGUUUAGCUGCUCUUGUUAUUGUUUUUCCUGACCCAGCUGGACCUUGUAGAAAGCCAGCUUCUGAGGGCCAAUUCACUUCCCAGACGGGGUGGCUGCCGAGGGGCUCCUCACUUCUCAGACGGGGCGGUUGCCAGGCAGAGGGUUUCCUCACUUCUCAGACGGGGCGGCCGGGCAGA
rnacentral:lncRNA from 10 species